UCUCCUUCAUUGUAUAGUAUAGCUACUUAAAUGAAAUUCUUUAAAGAUUUUGCAAGAAUUCUUCAGCUUUGUUUCUCCUUUGUGUGAAACAGAAUCCACUCUAGGACACUCUAURAACUGUCAUUUGAGUUAUAAUUCUUUUCUAUUUCCUAAAGCCAAAUACAAUAUUCCAUUCUUUAUUUAAUAGCUGUAAACAUCACAAGAGGUCAAUUUCACCAUAACUUCUCUUGGAAAUUUCCUUUUGAAUGUGAUCCAAUUGUUCCAUGUGCUGUUUCUGUGUGUUUUGUUCUCAUUCUGCAUAAAACAUCCUAUUUCUGUCCUUCCUUUUAAUCCGUGCUGUAGAGAGGUGCUUUCCCAUUAUUACGGAACAGUCAAUGCAUCCACAACAACAGGAGGGAGACAGGCAUUGUGUCCCAUAAGGAAUGACCUGGAGGCAUGAAAUGCUAAUUCAAAGAUGCUGAAAAUGCAGAUCAAUGAGAAGGAGCAUGAGACCUGUCCUGCCCUGUGACUGUGAUGGCUGUCACCAGAGAGAGGAUGCUGACCCAGGGGUUGUCAGCGGGGAAGGUUCACACCAAGGAUGCAGAGCAGAGCAGAGCUCUACAGAACUGCUUCAUCUUCCCAUCUGAGAUCCAGGAUACACACUUGGUUCUUCAUGGUUAUCAUCAGCCUCAGGGUUCUACCUUACACUAAAGAUAGUUGUUCCAGUGGGAGAGGACAGUAAGACCUUUAAGCAGCUGCAAGGAAGAAACAGCUGACAACCUUGGGCAUAAAUGUGGAAUGUAUAUUCAGUGUACUUGUUKUAUCUUUUGUUUUAACAUCUGUGAUUUAGUCUAUAUGCCACCAGCAAUUACUUGUAGAAUUCUGGUAAAGAAAAUAAAAUAUGAUUACAAGUAGGAAAGCAAAUAUGAUGAGUUAUCAUGGCCAUUAUAGAACAAGAAUACUGAUCUGGCACUCUUCAAAUUGCUUAACUGCACAGCAAAUGCAAUCAAUCRGCUUUAUUUGUGCAAUAUAUUAACUCCUUUAAAUAUUUUUACAAUCUUCUAACAAAAUAUGUUCUUUAUUAUCUCAAUCUUCAUUGUGUACUCCUCUUUUUUGGUGUCUCUGGUUCUCACUCUCUCUCAAAGCCUUGUUUCUAGGAGAGCUCUCAUAUCAAAAAUGUUGCCCCAAGCUGUUGCCACU